rnacentral:rRNA from 1 species
GAAAAAGCCACUAAGCUUCAGUCUGGAGUUGACCGUACCGCAAACCGACACAGGUGGGCAGGAUGAAAAUUCUAAGGCGCUUGAGAGAACUCAGGAGAAGGAACUCGGCAAAUUAACACCGUAACUUCGGGAGAAGGUGUGCCCCGGUAGCGUGUAGAGACUUGCUCUCGAAGCGCGAUGGGGUUGCAGUGAAAUGGUGGCUGCGACUGUUUAACAAAAACACAGCACUCUGCAAACACGAAAGUGGACGUAUAGGGUGUGACGCCUGCCCGGUGCCGGAAGGUUAAGUGAUGGGGUGCAAGCUCUUGAUCGAAGCCCCGGUAAACGGCGGCCGUAACAAUAACGGUCCUAAGGUAGCGAAAUUCCUUGUCGGGUAAGUUCCGACCUGCACGAAUGGCGUAACGAUGGCCACACUGUCUCCUCCUGGGACUCAGCGAAGUUGAAAUGUUUGUGAAGAUGCAAUCUACCCGCGGCUAGACGGAAAGACCCCAUGAACCUUUACUGUAGCUUUGCAUUGGACUUUGAACCGGUUUGUGUAGGAUAGGUGGAAGACUGUGAAGCCGGGACGCUAGUUUCGGUGGAGUCAACCUUGAAAUACCACCCUGAUUUGUUUGAGGUUCUAACCUUGGUCCGUGAAUCCGGAUCGGGGACCGUGCAUGGUAGGCAGUUUGACUGGGGCGGUCUCCUCCCAAAAGGUAACGGAGGAGUACGAAGGUACGCUUAGGGCGGUCGGACAUCGCCCACAAAGUGCAAUGGCAAAAGCGUGCUUGACUGCGAGACCCACAAGUCGAGCAGGUACGAAAGUAGGUCAUAGUGAUCCGGUGGUUCUGUAUGGAAGGGCCAUCGCUCAACGGAUAAAAGGUACUCUGGGGAUAACAGGCUAAUUCCUCCCAAGAGUUCAUAUCGACGGGGGAGUUUGGCACCUCGAUGUCGGCUCAUCACAUCCUGGGGCUGUAGUCGGUCCCAAGGGUAUGGCUGUUCGCCAUUUAAAGUGGUACGCGAGCUGGGUUUAAAACGUCGUGAGACAGUUUGGUCCCUAUCUGCCGUGGGCGCUGGAAAUUUGAAGGGGGCUGCUCCUAGUACGAGAGGACCGGAGUGGACGAACCUCUGGUGUACCGGUUAUGACGCCAGUCGUAUCGCCGGGUAGCUAAGUUCGGAAGAGAUAAACGCUGAAAGCAUCUAAGCGUGAAACUCGCCUUAAGAUAAGAUUUCCCGGAGUCUUGAACUCCCUGAAGGGUCGUCGAAGACCACGACGUUGAUAGGUCAGGUGUGGAAGCGCAGCAAUGCGUUAAGCUAACUGAUACUAAUUGCCCGUGCGGCUUGAUC